UGCCUACGACGAUAAGUCAAGCACUUUUACGUGCCCUACGGGGCCUGAUUAUCUCAUUACAUUCUGCCCUUGAUGUAUUAAUUAUCAUAUUGGCAUAAAAUAUUUGUAAACUAGUUGAUUAAUAAAUCAACAUAAAAUAAAUGUAAACUAGUUGAUUAAUAAAUCAACUACAUAAAAUAAAUGUAACCUAGUUGGUUAAUAAAUCAUAUCAGUACGAUACUUUUAUCUAAUUCUAGUUAAAUAGACAUUUUUA
rnacentral:lncRNA from 1 species